GCUCUGUGUAUUUUGAAAACCUCAUACUGCCACCUGCAAUUUCAUGAUCACCCAGGAAACUUUCAGAUAUCUUCAAAGAUGUUACUUUCCUGUAGGUGUUAUUUCCACUAAUGAGACCAGAGGGCAAGGCGACCUUGUCUUCCUCCUUCUGAAACUUUGUCUUCAUCCUUCACUGUCUGCUAUUUACUGCCACAGGGCUGUCUUUACCUAGUCCCUAUUUCUCUGAAAUUCUUCUUGAAUUUUAAACACUUUAUUUUUACCCUUUUCAGAGAAGCAGCAAUGCCUCUGGCUCAAAGACAAUGCAUUUGGGUACAACUGGCUGCCUGCAGGGUGAACCUCACCCUUCAGGCCUCGUCACAGCAGAGGAGUGGCUCAGGCACCAGGGCCCAGGCGCCGGGCACACCUGCUACAUUCCUCCAACUGGCUUGUUUUCAUUUUCUUUCCAAUUUAAAAGAAUGUAUUCAACAUUCCAUCUUUAGAAAAUGUGAUAACCAUCAAGUCUUUGCAUGAGAAAGCUGCCAGUUAAACCAAGGUUAGAGAAUUUCCAGCUUCCAGAAAUGCUCCUGCAUGACCAUCUCAGCCAGUACCCCACAACGAAGCCUCGAGUCUGACCUCCACCAUCAUAGGUUAGUUUUGUUUACUUUUGGACUUCAUAUAAAUGGAAUCAUACCGUGUGUACUCUUCUGUCUUUAAUUUGUUU
rnacentral:lncRNA from 1 species